AGGAGAGCAGUAAAGUGUUGGCAGUUGUAAAAAUGUGUCAAAUUUAUGCAAUUCUAUCUCUGAUUUACAAUUCAGCUACACAUGUUGGCAGAGGUGAACUGGUGGGCCUAAGGAAAUGCAACAAUAAUUCCUCCUCUCUUCACCCUGAAAUACCUUGAUCCUGACCAUAUAAUUUAUUAAAGUAGGUUUAGGGUAUGUUACAUUAAAGUGUAAAGGUAUUCUUCCUAGUGGAUGUGGAUAGUAUAAAGUUGUAGAAUCUUAGAGUGGUAGUGACUUUAGAGGAGAACUGAUACAGCAGUUCCUGAAUACCAGUCUCCAUCUAGGCCAACUGUAACAGUCACCUCCAGAGCUUUUAAAAAAAUGUAAACUCCUGGUCCACUCAAGGAGAUUUUGGCUUAGGAAGUCUGGAGUGGGGCCCAGAAAUUUGAACUUUAUAAAAGAUUUUUAGGUGAUUAUAUAAUCAGCUAAGUUUUGGUACAACUUUAAACUCUGUAAGAAUUCUUUCUACAACAUUCUUGGUAAAGAGUCAUGCAGUCUCAACUUUGACAACUUCUAUUUGAUGAGGCAACUUAUUUCAUUGCUUUAAAAGAUUUAUCUUGGACUGAACUAGGCACAGUUCUGGGUGGGAGUCUGGGGAGUGCAGCAGCCAUGGCCAGCCACCUUGUGCUCAACAACGGUACCAGGAUGCUCAUCCUGGGGCUGGGCACCUGGAAGCCCCCUCCAUGCCAAGUGACUGAGGCUGUGAAGGUGGCCUUCGAUAUUGGGCACUGCCACCUCGACUGUGCCCAUGUGUGCCAGAAUGAAAAUGAGGUGGAGGUGGCCAUUCAGGAGAAGCUCAGGGAGCAGGUGGUGAAGUGUAAGGAGCUCUUCGUUGUCAGUAAGUUGUGGUGCAUGUGCCAUGAGAAGGGCCUGGUAAAAGGAGCCUGCCAGAAGACGCUCAGUGGCCUGAAGCUGGACCACCUGGACCUUUACCUUAUUCACUGGCCAACUGGCUUUAAGCCUGGGAAGGAUGAAUCAGGCAGUGUGGUUCCCAGUGACACCAACAUUCUGGACACAUGGGCGGCCAUGGAAGAGCUGGUGGAUGAAGGGCUAGUGAAAGCUAUUGGCAUCUCCAACUUCAACCAUUUCCAGGUGGAGAGGAUCUUAAACAAACCUGACUUAAAGGAUAAGCCUGUGGUUAACCAGAUUGAGUGCCACCCGUACUUCACUCAGGAGAAGUUAAUCCAGUACUGCCAGCCCAAAGGCAUUGUGGCGACUGCCUACAGCCCCCUCGGCUCUCCCUAUAAGUACUGGGCCAAGCUCGAGGACCCUUCCCUCCUGGAGGAUCCCAGGAUCAAGGCGAUCACAGCCAAGCACAAUAAAACUACAGCCCAGGUCCUGAUCCGGCUCCCCAUGCAGAGGAACUUGGUGGUGAUCCCCAAAUCUGUGACACCAGAACGCAUUGCUGAGAACGUUAAGGUCUUUAACUUUGAACUGAGCACCCAGGAUGUGACCACCUCACUCAGCUACAACAGGAACUGGAGGAUCUGUGCCUUGGUGAGCUGUGCUUGCCACAAGGAUUACCCCUUCCAUGAAGAGUUUUGAAGCUGUGGUUGCCUGCUCAUCCCUAAGUGACCUAUACCUGUGUUUCCUGCCUCAUUUGUUUUCAUUGCAAAGGUAGUAUGGCCUGUGUCACUCAGCAGUGGGACAGCAAACUGUAGAGUGGCCAGCAAACUGUAGAGUGACCAGCAAGGGUGUGUCCAGCUUGAUGUUGGAUCUGAAGAGCCCUGUCAGUAGAGUAGAGGUCUCUUCCAGUUUGCUUUGCCCUUCUUUUUGCCCUGCUGGGGAAAGUACAACCUGAAUACCCUUUUCUGACCAAAGGGAAGCAAAAUCUACCAGGUCAAAAUAGUGCAAGUAACAGUUGAGUUUUGACUGCUUGGAACUGUAACCCUUUCAGCAAGACUUCUCUUUGCCUCAAAUAAAAAGUGCUUUUGUGAGCUUGAAAAAAAAAAAAAAGGUUUAUCUUGGACUGAACUACAACCUACCACUUUGUAAUUUCCAGCCACAAGUAUUGUUCUUUCUUUGGGAAGGAGGAAAAAGAAACUAAUUUUGAUCAGCAUUUACUAUAUUAUAUUUGCUGUGCUAGGUAUCAUUGCCUCUUACUGUAUGCUUGAAAAAACUAAGGUAAUUUCCUUGGCUGCAAAAUGGAGUAUCCGAGUAGAUCAGCAGUUAUCAAAAUGUGGCCUGUGGACACAGGGGAUCCCUGAGACCCUUUCAGAGGGUGUGUUGUCAAAACUAUUUUCAUCAUAAUGGGAAAUUGCUAGUUGCCUUUUUCACUGUAUUGACGUUUGCACUGAGUAUGCAGAGCAAUUUUGCAUUAAAACUGCUGGUGCCUUAGCACACAUUAAGACAGUGGCACCAAAUUAUGUUAGUAGUCAUUGAAUUCUUUAUUAUUACCACUCAUGAAAACAAACAAACAAAAAACCAGUUUCACUUAAGAGCAUUGUAGAUGAAACAGUAAAAUUAUUAAUUUUAUUAAGUCUUGACCCUUCUUUAAUACUCUAUGUGCUGAAAUGGGGAGUAUGUAUAAGGCACUUACACUACAUACCCAAGUAUGAUGGUUAUCUUGAGGAAAAUCACUUGUAAUUGAGUUGAACUAACUACUUUUUUCAAAGAACACCAUUUUUUACUUGAAAGAACAACUAACAAACACACAAUGGUUAUUUAGACUUAAAAACCUGGCAGACAUAUUCUCAAAAAUGAACAAAGUGAGCCCGCCUAUUUUGAGGAAAGCAAGUGACACUUUUUUGUCAAUAAAAUUUGAGCUUCCAAGAGCAAGUGAGUAGUUUGGAAAGCUUUUACCCACCACCACAAUCAUGAUUGCUUCCCAGUACUUAAAAACCUUUCUGAUAAGAUUGGGUGGUGAUAUUAAGAAAUGUGGUUUUAACAAUAUUGCAUAAUAGAACAUGUCAAUGUUUUAAACUCAGUGAGCCAAUGUUUCUCAAAUGAAGUAAUGUAUGGUGUUACAAAGUCAGGUAUAGCUAAAAGAUCCAUUUAAAGGUGAUUUGAUUUUAGAGUAAUGGAAUACAAAAAGUUUAUUGAUAUUCAAGUUUUAGAUUCCAUAUUGCAAUUAACCUUUGAGAAAUGAUUACUUGUCAAAUUUUGAUGUAAUAUAAAAGAAUAGCCACAAUUAUUUGAAAAGGCUAUUAAAACAUUCUGCCUCUUUCUAUCUGUGUGAAAAUGGAUACUUUUCAUGUACUUCCACCAAACCAACAUAUCACAACAGAUUGAAUGCAGUAGCACCUGUGAUAAUCUAGCUGUCUUUUUCUAAACCGGACAUUUAAGAGAUUUGCAAAAAUGUA